AGUUGGAGGGUAUAUAUUAAUCAUGCCCAGCUUGUUACAAAUAUAUUUAACCAUGUCCCUACUGAGCCCUUUAGUGAACAAAUCAGCUAGUUGAUUGCCGCUACACACA